UACAGAGGUGGCAAGCGUUGUUCGGAAUUACUGGGCGUAAAGGGCGCGUAGGCGGCCUUCUAAGUCAGACGUGAAAUCCCCCGGCUUAACCUGGGAACUGCGUCUGAUACUGGGAGGCUUGAGUUUGGGAGAGGGAUGCGGAAUUCCAGGUGUAGCGGUGAAAUGCGUAGAUAUCUGGAGGAACACCGGUGGCGAAGGCGGCAUCCUGGACCAACACUGACACUGAGGAGCGAAAGCCAGGGGAGCAAACGGG
rnacentral:rRNA from 1 species